UCCUCUGUAAAUGACGGUGCUUAAAUGAUUAAACCAUUAAUAUACUUAGUAGUCAUUAGGCCUACCCUGAUUAGAUCCUCAAUCCCUGCCGAGGAAGGGAAUCAUCGGGACAUCUGUCUGGUACUUGGUGGGAAAUGGCUGAAAACUUCUUGAGACACUCAUGAAGAAGUGCAACUUUGCCAAGAUUAAAGGAUCAUCCGGGCUUCUGUGAUGGUGUCACAUGACGAUGACCUUGGAUUGGGGAGCUUCUUGGCUUUGACCUGAUCCACAUAGGUGACAAUAUAUGGCCACAUUUCAAUGGCUCUCUGCACUGCUGGAAGGUUUUCCAGCCAUUGAUGUCCACAACAUGGCAAAGGAAAUGUAUCACACUUGGUCCCUAACAAAGUCUUCUCUCCUUGCAGGAGCACAAUGAAACAGGUAGUGCAGGGCUUUCAGGACUUUCUCAACUUGCCACACCGCAAAACCGUUCUUGAACGAGUUGUGCAUCGUGUGAAGGCCACAACUCCCAAUUAUUUGUAGUUGGGCUCCACCACACUGCUCUCUGUGUUCCUCUUGCAAGAAUAUAGCAUAUUGUUCAGAUUCAGCUCCUUUCUACCUUUCACAUUGGGAAAAAAAAAAAAAAGAUCAAUUUAAUGUGCCAAGUAAUCCACAUUAUAUAAUAAUAAUAAUAAUGGUUGUGCUUAUAUAGCAGAGAGAUCAAAAACAUCCAUCAAAACCCCUGACACACACACACGAAUAUGUAUUCACAUAUUUACACCUAAACAAUAAAAUGCAAACAUACACAAACACACGCGAUAAUUAACGUUAAUCAUUAUAUAAUUAUAUGCGUGUGGCCUAUAAAUGCAAUGGUGAAUUUUGCACCGGUAGCAUACGAGCUUUAAACCGCACUAAGGUUACUCAAUUUUACAGCAAACACAAUGGUAACGUUACUUACAUUGAAAUGACCCAACAUGUCCUCAGCUCUGGAGCGACCCAUGAACUCCGACCCCUAGUAGCGGGAGAUGACGUGGGGUGUGCCAGUCUCAUCAUCAGUCGUCCAGAAUCGCAAAUGAAGGUCCAUUUGUUUGCUCUUUGUCCUUUUAUUCAUACGUGUGUCAAACAUGACAACAUAUGGUUUCUCACUAACGCUGCGCGAUAGCUGCUUUUUGAUGAAUGAGGCGAUGCCAUAUUUGGCGACAUAUGCCGUUUUCUUUUCACCACAGGUGAAUGACUUUGCAAGCUGUGAAUCGGGAACAUGGCAGCAAAGACGCCACGUAUGUCACCAUUAGAUUUAAAUGAAUUGUGCCUCGUCACAGUACCUCUGCCUUUUGGGUGUCUGGUGUUGAAAUGAAACCUGUUACAGCCGACUGAGAGGUGGCGUGUGAACUUGCAGGGAUUAACCUGGCCCCGCUAUGGCUACGGCUAUGGCUAUGGCUAGCUGCUGCAACGUAUCGCUGGUGCUUUCCUCCUUUCAUGUGCGACUCGACGGCUUUGAGCCCCACGGUCUGAAAAGGUCUUUUUGCAGAGUUUACACAUCGCCUCAUUGUUGUUUUCAACCGGCGCCGACCGCCUCCUAAACGCGUCCUCUUCCAUCCACUUGUCGUUAAAUUUGCGACACGCAGCCUGACGUCAGCGUCUGUAGCCGACGUACCGUAAACAGAUAUUCUAUUGCGGAGACGCAUUUAGCACAAUACUAGAUGAAUAUAUUAGAUGUUUUACGAUGCGCCACUGUGCUUUCUCAUCGGCAUUAAGCGCACCGGCAAAAAAAUUAAUACCUACAGCAACUUUAUGUGAAAUUUAAGACAAUUUAAGACCUUAAUUACCCAAAUUUUAAUUGAAGACUUUUUAAGGACCCGCAGGAACCCUGCAUCUGUAGCUCAACAGAAGUUGACUGAAGGCCUUUAACACUCCUGAUGCACCACAAUGCCAAGCCUUAUGGGGUAAGAGUAUGCAGGCAGUACCUGGAGGAUGACGGGCUGAAUGGACUUCCCUGCAACAUCAUUCUUCCCAUUGAUUUGAGGUGUUAAAUUAAGCCCCGUGUAGGCUGAAACUUUUAUUUCCAUCAAAAGAUGUGGCAUCCUUUCACUCCUCAGACAUUAAAUUCACAUUGAGAUCUUGAGUGUUCCUUUACCUUCUUUGAGCGAUGUAGAUAAGGCACAUUGGACGAUGAACUGUUUCAUAGCCUAGAACACGCGUGUCCCUCGCUGGCUUAGUACCCGUUUGGAAUGUUAAAGGCACUACAGAAUGUCCACUAGGAGUGUGCUCAUCCGGGUGGAACAGAGCACCGGGCCAUAGAGACAGAAAUAUGGCGUCAUGUAACAAGGUAUAAACAUGUUCUGUAGUAAAGGGAACCGUAAACGACUUCUGCUGUGAUCUGGGGCUUCA
ensembl:lncRNA